GAAAUAAUACUACACACUGAGAGAUAGUCCCCUCUGUAGAGCUGGCAGAGGAGUGGGAGCAUCAGAAACACAUCAAAAAGCAAGAAAUAUCAGAGGGAGUCAGGUGAGGGAGUGGCGGUAGGAGCUCCAAGCAGACAGACAAAUGACAACAAUGCAUUGAGGGCAAGCUGAGACCCAGUCCAUCCGAUGGCCUAGAGAUCCAACCAACAAGGCACCAGCUCCUGGAGCUGGAAGUUGGAUGGACCAUGGUAGUGAAAACACAUACCAUCCCAGCUGGUGAGCUAGCCCCUGGAAUGUCAAGAGGAAGGGAUGCUCACUAGAGCAAGCAUGGCCAGCUGAACACCUCCCAACAUGGGAGCCAUAAGUCACAAGAGUGGAGCCACAACAUCAAACGGAGAGGAGUAUCCCCUGAAAGAGGAAAACUCUUUCCCUCUUAAGCUACUCCCUACUUAGUUUUUAAGUUAAAAAAAAAGAUGCACAAAAUAAAACAGGUAUUUUUCUGUCCAUAUGCUAAUGUUUUAUCCAUCACUUUAGGCAGCUGGUAAGAAAACAUCCUCAAUGAAACUGUUCAGUUCAUAGAAUCUUAUAAACAUGAAAAUAAAAAUAUCAAACUAUUAAAGUGGAAUCAAAAUGAACAUUACAAGAAUCCCAUCUAAUAAGUUUUAUUAUACACUGAGUGUUGAUACAUGAGGCUAAAGUCCUGCUGAGGAAGAAGCUCAAGUGUUUGACUUUGCUUGUUAUUCAAGCAACCCAUUGUAUGAAAUCUCCCUCGAGGCAAAGUAUAUUUUCAUAGGCCCCCACAGAGCAGAGCGGAGGUUUCUUUUAUGCCUUGUGUUUUUUUCCCACAUAAUGGAACCAAAGCACACAUUUUGUAUUUAAAGCUUCCGUUUUGCAGUUUCAAACGGCCUUUAAAUGAAUUUUGGAUUAUUUAUACAGCUUACCAGCCUUGCCUUCCCAUGCGAGCCCCAAUACUCCACUGUAGUCCCUGUUAGUGAGCAGAUAGGACAAGCAGUAGUUUCCCCAGUUGUUCUCAGAGUAAAGACUCAACAGACUUUCCGGUCCAAUAAACAGUCGAUUAAGAGGAUCCUUCUUGUUUUGUGUUGUCAUCACCUGGAGAAACACAGAGGUUUACUUAAUUCGCCAAACUGACAAGGACGCAAUGUAGUAACUGUUGUUUUUAAACCUUUUAUUUUUGAGCAUCAUAACAAUCUGGCAUGUUAGGAAUCAGACAGGCUUGUGUGAGAGGCUGUGCCACAGUAGUUCUUUGAGGUUUUGUUUGUUUCUGCACUUGUGAAAUCACAGAAAACUCUGCAGCAGUUAGGAUCCUCAGGCAAGCCUGAGGAUCCUAACUGUUUGUUUUGGCACCAAACUUACUCUAAGGGUCUUAAUUUUGAAGUUGAUCAACUUGAUUCCAUUAAAGUCAGUCUUGUCGUAGAUGUCAUUCACUGCCCGCAUAUAAAGGGCAACCUAAAAAAAAAAAAAGAUAAGAAAAUAAUAACAAAUUAACAGUAAAAAAAACAUCUGUGGAGUGUUUCAUAUCCAAGGCU